GUGCCAGCCGCUGCGGUAAUACGUAGGGCGCAAGCGUUGUCCGGAAUUAUUGGGCGUAAAGAGCUCGUAGGCGGUCUGUCGCGUCUGCUGUGAAAUCCCGAGGCUCAACCUCGGGCUUGCAGUGGGUACGGGCAGACUAGAGUGCGGUAGGGAGACUGGAAUUCCUGGUGUAGCGGUGGAAUGCGCAGAUAUCAGGAGGAACACCGAUGGCGAAGGCAGGUCUCUGGGCCGCAACUGACGCUGAGGAGCGAAAGCAGUGGGAGCGAACAGGAUUAAGAUACCCUGGUAGUCCAUGCCGUAAACGUUGGGCACGUAGGUGUGGGCUCGA
rnacentral:rRNA from 1 species